CACCUAUUUAUGUCGUCCUGCGAUUGUUGAUGACAGAGUUUGGUGACAACGGACGUUUCCUGGACGUUACAUACGGGAAAACACACAAAGGGGAAAGUCGUCAAAACAUGAAAGCAUACGCAAACGAUGAUACGGAUUUGUUGACAGCCAUUUCCAGUUAUCAAGUAAGUAGUUAUACAAAAUGUCUAAAAUAUUUGACUUGUUAUAAUUCAUGGGGGCUUCAAGUUAUAUAGAUUUUACCACGAGCUAAUUCCGAACGACAUCAGAAAUAUCCAAGUCGUCGUAAAAUCAAUAUAUACGUACAUUCAAGCCCCAGUGAAUAAUUUCUUAAGCACACUCAUUUAAAAUUUGAUUAUUCAUCGCUUUCUUUUGACGCCCAGUGGCAAAUAUUGCACGCAUUUCCAGGAUGGUUAAAGAAAAGUAAGGGAUAUAAAAAAAUGGAGGAUUCCGUUACCACAACGAAAAAUGAUAAAGGAUAUCUAUACGGAGAAGGAAAAGUUUUAACUCCAAUUCUAUGAUCAUACUGUAUAGAAGGGAUGUAUAGAAUGCUCUUUAUAUAUUUAUACGAUCACUUGAUUAUAAAAGUAAUCAUAAAUUCCAUGCUAAAACUGUGUUGAUAGAAACCAAUGAUUUAUAAGUAACGCCUGGAUAUGGGCCUUCUUUUUCAUGAGGGAUCCCUGUACUUUAUAGUUAGGGUUCAUAUAUGGUUAGGGUUAGGUUAGGGUUUGUUCUCGGUAAAGGUAAGGUUUAAUGUCUAGGUGAAAAUUUAGAAACGGAUGACUAAAAUGAAUAUACAAAGUAUUCAGACUUUUAAUGCACAUCAAUAUUGUGAUACUUUGACGAUUUUUUAAAAUGUAUAUAUAGUUCGAAGUGGGGAAAAACCUGUAUGUCCAAACCUAGUGACCAGUCAUCACUAGUCCUUUUAACUUAACAACGUAAGGAUUAAUUUUUUUUUGUAUAUAAUCAAAGGAGUAUUAGCUGUCAAAUUCAUGUUCAUCGAUAUGAAUCUAAGUCUAAUAUUUGAUCUAUGACAUACUAAAACAUCGAUAUGAAUCUAAGUCUAAUAUUUGAUCUAUGACAUACUAAAACAUCGAUAUGAAUCUAAGUCUAAUAUUUGAUCUAUGACAUACUAAAACAUCGAUAUGAAUCUAAGUCUUAUAUUUGAUCUAUAACAUACUAAAACAUCGAUAUGAAUCUAAGUCUUAUAUUUGAUCUAUGACAUACUAAAACAUCGAUAUGAAUCUAAGUCUAAUAUUUGAUCUAUAACAUACUAAAACAUCGAUAUGAAUCUAAGUCUAAUAUUUGAUCUAUGACAUAAUAAAACAUAUAGAUCUCCUAAUUAUAAAUAGUUUAAAUUAAAUAAUUUACAAAGCAUGGGCUCAUUUCUAAAAAAAGUAAAAUAACAAAAAAUCCGAAAUCAGAGGACAAUUCAAAAUUGAAAUGACAAAAUCAUCAAAAGCUCAAACAAAUCAACGAUUGGAAAACAGCUGUCAAAUUCAUGACUUGGUACAGGCAUUUUGUAUAUGUAGAAAAUGGUAGAUUAAAACUGGUUUUAUAUCUAUCUAAAUACUCGUAGUGUUUGUAAUAUUGAUGAAUUAUGUAGAUAUUAAUGGUUUUUUUUUUUAUAUCUGAAAUAAAUGAAGUAGAAUCAUAACGGAACGUCUUUUUAUUUCAUUGUAGUUGUAGACACUACAAAUCUAUCACGGAGAAUGGCAAAGGGACCAUGUGCAAUUCAUAAACAAGACCAAAUUUGUGUAAUACUGGUGGAGGGACAUUAUGACAUACGUGAUUAGACAUGAUAGUGUACAGACCUUUAUUAUUCUAUUGGUGAUUGGAUAUCUAUAACUUUGAACUAAAUGUGUGUGCUCUAUUCAUUGGAAGAAAAUAUACAGAUACAUAUCCAUACCCUGACGUAAGUAUUGAAUUUUUUUUUAUUUCCAUCUGAUAACCAGUAUGAAUAACUCUCAUGAUAUCAUUGGACUAAUUUUCAAUCGCCUCUUUUCCAUUGCCAUUGAUUUCAUAUACAGGUCCUACAACGUACCUAUUUAGAUUCUGAUUCAGAUAACUGCAUCCGAUAUCAACCUGACAAGAAUAAUAAUAAUAAAUGUGUAAUUAUAUUAAAACCAAUGAUGACCCUUAAACUGUAGAAACAUAUGUUGUAUAUCAAAUGGUCUACAAGACCAACGUUACACAAACUCUGGGACUAAUACAUUGAAUUUUAUCUAUUAGUCCCAGUCAAACUAUAGUUGCAGUAUAAAACAUUGUAUUCAUUUUGACUGGGAUAAGUUCUCAGCGAUGAAGACAGGACUUUUGCAUUAUUUCAAUAGAGAUAAGAACCAAAUAUGCAUACAACAUGGUAAUUGGAGAUUCAAAACAUUGGCAAACAUUCAUGUGUAACAGUAAAUACAGUAGAUAUUUGUAAAGUUCAUCAUCUAUAGUACACAAGUCCUCAUCUCAUCUUGGACCAAAAGAUAAAGGGAAAUUCAUUCGCUUACGAUUAUUUUUCAAUUUCAUUGUCUCCUCAAAUUUACAUGUAAAUGGUGUUUUGAUGGCAUUUUUCUGUUCAAAUCCGAUGAUACAUCAUCAUCAUCAUACUUUAUUUCCUCCUAAAGGAGAUUGACAAAAUGCAUAUAAAUUAUGUACAAUUACAAAGUUUUGAAAUUAGAUAAUAGAAUUAAUGUCACUAAAUAAGACGAUAAAAAGAAGAAGAAACACCCAUGUACAAAUAAAUACAUUUCAUUCAAUAAGGUAAGACCAUGUUAGAAGUAAACAUUAUACAGUUUUCCUUAUAUAGUGAAAGGGAUGGGGAUCAGGACCUUUUUUUCGGGACGUCGGGAUCAGGUGGUUUUAAUCUCGGGAUUUCGGGAUUAACCCUUUCGGGAUCCGGGAAUUCUUCUUUUGAAGUUCGGGAUGCCGGAAUUUAUUUCUUUUAAAUUCGGGACCUCGGGAUUUCAUGUUUUAAAAUCCGGGAUUUCGGGAUCAGGACACCUCUGACCCUCUGGUUUACUUUUAUAAAUUUUUAUUUGGAUGGAGAGUUGUCUUAUUGGCACUCAUACCAUUAGAAUAAGUUUAUCCAAUUAUUGAUAAGUUUACCAUGAUCGUAUCUAAAUUUCCGGGCUCCGUAAACACUAUGAUCACCAUAAUAAUAAGGAUGUGCUGUUCCGUUUGAUUUAGUUUUGCACAGUUUAGGGAACCCACCAUGACUCCCUAACUUGAGACAAUGGUACAAUAGUACAACAUAAGAACAGAUCGAUCAAGGAGCCUGUAGUUCAUAAAGAUGCUUAUUUCUUAUGUAUAUAUUUCCCAUGUUACUAAUCUGCCAUAAAAGUUAGUUAAAUUAUUUUAUUUUUUCAGAAUCACUGAUAAAAUCUUCUUCCCACGUUUGAUAAUUAACCUUAUCUUUCUUAACGGGAUUCCAUUCGUACUUGCCUUGGGGUGGUCGCCGAAGAAAUUUUAACUAAAUAUAUCAUAGUUAAAGUCACUGCAUGCGGAAAAGAUGUCGGCAAAAAGGAGUACAAGAUAAUAAUUCAAUAGCAGUAUCUUAUUGAAGAUUUGGAUCAAAUAAAGGAUUUCUCUCAAAAGGAAGUUUAUGUGCACGUGUUUUAAAAUAAAAC
rnacentral:lncRNA from 1 species